UGGGGAAUAUUGCACAAUGGGCGCAAGCCUGAUGCAGCCAUGCCGCGUGUAUGAAGAAGGCCUUCGGGUUGUAAAGUACUUUCAGCGGGGAGGAAGGGAGUAAAGUUAAUACCUUUGCUCAUUGACGUUACCCGCAGAAGAAGCACCGGCUAACUCCGUGCCAGCAGCCGCGGUAAUACGGAGGGUGCAAGCGUUAAUCGGAAUUACUGGGCGUAAAGCGCACGCAGGCGGUUUGUUAAGUCAGAUGUAAAAUCCCCGGGCUCAACCUGGGAACUGCAUCUGAUACUGGCAAGCUUGAGUCUCGUAGAGGGGGGUAGAAUUCCAGGUGUAGCGGUGAAAUGCGUAGAGAUCUGGAGGAAUACCGGUGGCGAAGGCGGCCCCCUGGACGAAGACUGACGCUCAGGUGCGAAAGCGUGGGGAGCAAACAGG
rnacentral:rRNA from 1 species